UACGGAGGGGGCUAGCGUUGUUCGGAAUUACUGGGCGUAAAGCGCACGUAGGCGGCUUUGUAAGUUAGAGGUGAAAGCCCGGGGCUCAACUCCGGAAUCGCCUUUAAGACUGCAUCGCUAGAAUUGUGGAGAGGUAAGUGGAAUUCCGAGUGUAGAGGUGAAAUUCGUAGAUAUUCGGAAGAACACCAGUGGCGAAGGCGACUUACUGGACACAUAUUGACGCUGAGGUGCGAAAGCGUGGGGAGCGAACAGG
rnacentral:rRNA from 1 species